ACCUGGCUGGCUCAGUUGGUAAAGCAUUCAACUCUUGAUCUUGAGGCUGUGAGUUCAAGCCCCACGUUAGGUA
rnacentral:tRNA from 1 species